rnacentral:misc_RNA from 1 species
UUAUAAUUGAAUGCGAUGCUUCGGGGUCGGGCAUAGGGGCAGUACUUAUGCAGGAACGCCCAAUUGCUUUCUUCAGUCAAGCUUUACAUGGUAAGCACCUCCUUCUAUCUACUUAUGAGAAGGAAAUGUUGGCACUGGUUUUAGCUGUGCAAAAAUGGCGAUCAUACCUCCUCGGUCAGAAAUUUAUUGUUCGGACUGAUCAUCAGAGUUUGAAGCACUUGUGGAAUCAAAAAAUCACCACUGCUGCCCAGCAGAAUUGGUUGAUGAAAUUAAUGGGGUUUGAUUUCAUUAUACAAUACAAGGGAGGCAAAGACAACAUUGUUGCCGAUGCUUUGUCUAGAAGGGAGGAAUAUGAGACUAAUGGCGGGCAAGUUUUUGCAAUCUCUUGUCCAAUUCCACACUGGACAGAUUCAAUUAAGGAAGAAACUAAUUCUCUUCCAGAAUUGAAAGCAAAGGUGCAGCAAGUCCAAAAAGGAGAGGCACUGGGACCCUGGGAAUAUGUAGAUGGCAUCUUAUUUUUCAAAGGAAGGAUUUAUUUGUCUAAAAAUUCAGCUCUGAUUCCUGAUAUUAUUGAGCAAUUCCACAACAGCACUCAUGAAGGUUUUUUCAAGACCCUCCAGAGGAUAAGGUCCACUUUUUACUCACCAAAUCUUAAGAGUAAAGUGCGAACCUUUAUAAGGGAAUGCGAUGUCUGUCAGCGACACAAAGUUGAAAACACUCUUCCGGCCGGGCUGCUACAACCACUUCCAAUUCCUAACAGAAUUUGGGAAGAAAUUUCUAUGGAUUUUAUUG